UACGUAGGGUGCGAGCGUUAAUCGGAAUUACUGGGCGUAAAGCGUGCGCAGGCGGUUAUGCAAGACAGGAUGUGAAAUCCCCGGGCUCAACCUGGGAACUGCAUUUGUGACUGCAUGACUAGAGUACGGCAGAGGGGGAUGGAAUUCCGCGUGUAGCAGUGAAAUGCGUAGAUAUGCGGAGGAACACCGAUGGCGAAGGCAAUCCCCUGGGCCUGUACUGACGCUCAUGCACGAAAGCGUGGGGAGCAAACAGG
rnacentral:rRNA from 1 species